rnacentral:tRNA from 4 species
GUCUAGUGGCCUAGGACUCCGCCCUUUCACGGCGGCAACAGGGGUUCGAACCCCCU